GUAACAAGGUUUCCGUAGGUGAACCUGCGGAAGGAUCAUUAACGAAUAUCUAUGGCGUUGGUUGUAGCUGGCUCCUAGGAGCAUUGUGCACGCCUGUCAUUCAUAUCUUUCCACCUGUGAACCAUUUGUAGGCCUGGAUACCCCUCGCUUUGGCAACAAAGCGGAUGCAAGGAUUGCUGCGUCGACAAGGCCGGCUCUCUUUGAAUUUCCAGGUUCUAUGUCUUUUACACACCCCAUUCGAAUGAUUUUAGAAUGUAGUCAAUGGGCUUUCAUGCCUAUAAAAAACUAUACAACUUUCAGCAACGGAUCUCUUGGCUCUCGCAUCGAUGAAGAACGCAGCGAAAUGCGAUAAGUAAUGUGAAUUGCAGAAUUCAGUGAAUCAUCGAAUCUUUGAACGCACCUUGCGCUCCUUGGUAUUCCGAGGAGCAUGCCUGUUUGAGUGUCAUUAAAUUCUCAACCUCACCAGUUUUGUAACGAGACAGGUGAAGGCUUGGAUGUGGGGGUUUUGCAGGCUGCCUCAGUGCUGGUCUGCUCCCCUGAAAUGCAUUAGCGAGCUCAUACUGAGCUUCCGUCUACUGGUGUGAUAAUUAUCUACGCCGUGGAUUGGACUCAUGCUUGCUUCUAACCGUCCGCAAGGACAAUUUACUUGACCAAUUUGACCUCA
rnacentral:misc_RNA from 1 species